AUUGAACGCUGGCGGCAUGCCUUACACAUGCAAGUCGAACGGCAGCACGGGGGCAACCCUGGUGGCGAGUGGCGAACGGGUGAGUAAUACAUCGGAACGUGCCCUGAAGUGGGGGGAUAACGUAGCGAAAGUUACGCUAAUACCGCAUAUUCUGUGAGCAGGAAAGCAGGGGAUCGCAAGACCUUGUGCUUUAGGAGCGGCCGAUGUCGGAUUAGCUAGUUGGUGAGGUAAAGGCUCACCAAGGCGACGAUCCGUAGCGGGUCUGAGAGGAUGAUCCGCCACACUGGGACUGAGACACGGCCCAGACUCCUACGGGAGGCAGCAGUGGGGGAAUUUUGGACAAUGGGCGCAAGCCUGAUCCAGCCAUGCCGCGUGAGUGAAGAAGGCCUUCGGG
rnacentral:rRNA from 1 species